UGGGAUGCCUUCUCUCUGGGAGGGAUGGUGUGGAUUCUCAGGUCCUACCUGGGCUGCAGUCCUUACAGGUUUGCAAAGAAAUAGUGGAGAGAAGACCAGGUCAGUGAGACUCCAAAUGCCACCCAGGCCCUCUCCAGGACCAUGCUGGAACUAAGUCACCCAGCAGAAUGGACCAGCUGACCUGCACCUGGUCUCAUUUUCCCUUCAACCUCUCUAUCCAACUGCAUCUCCCACCUGCCUGAAAUCCUUCUGGGAUCAGCCCCAUGUCCUCCAGGAUGAUACCCACACUCCCGGUCUUCAUUUUCCAAAUUAAGCAUUUCCCAUGGAAGGAUCUCAUUUCCAGCUGCCUCACGUGCAUGUCUGAAUAACCAACAACUCGUGUAAUAAACUCUCUAUAGAACAUGCACCUACGUACUUGAACUCGGCUGACCUAAGAAUCUCUCUGGAAAAGAGACUGACUCCGAGCUACAAUCAUCUUUAUGAACUUUCAGGACAUUUUAUUGGUAAUGAAACAGCAGCAUUUUCUUCUUGGUAAUUCUGUGAGGGUCACAGUUAAACAACUAACCAGCAUUAACCACAUCUGUACUGUUCGACACAACAUCCAGACCCCUUAAUGGGGAACUUCAGCUGAGUCUGCAGAGACAGCCAUGAGUAAAGGCAGUGAAGGGCAGGAAGAGGCCCCUGCCAGGCCCUCCAGGGCUGGGGGGCACUGGGCUGGGCACUUCAAACGGAGAACCUUAGAAUCUUUUCCCACUUUGUGGGGAGCAGAUUUAAGGAGCAGACAGCUAAGGGAAGAUUUAUAAACACAAUAAUUUUUGUUUCUAAGAGUUGUAAUGCAAAGCAGGGAUAGGCAUGCUCCUCCAAAGAGGUUCUCAAAGAGAUCUUUAGAAGCCAGAGAAUACCACAUUUCUUUGCCUAACCCAAAAGUCCUGGGAAUCUUCAUUUGUCAGCAGAAGCUCUGAAAACAGGGCACGGCACUACUUUUUUUUUGCCUAAUGUGGUGGAAGACAGCCCCAUGACAACAAAGAGAAAGAAAAAUCGUUUCUCUUGUAAGUCAGAACAUAAUACAGGCUCAUGGCUCACGGUAACUUCGCUGUUGAAAUCCUUGAAGGAUCCACAAGGCACUCAUCACUCCAGUUAGUGAUCAUCUUGUGGGAACCUACAGUGAAGCUCACUAGAAAAUAUACUGGAAAAGAAUAGAAAGGGUGAACAGGCAGGUCCAUCAACUCUGAAACCCCAGAGCUAAGGAGGCCACUUGGAAUUGAAGGAGGUAGAUUUAGGAUAAGUAAGAAAAGGAGCUAACUUUACAUGGUGGUGGAAAAUUCAUGACAUCACAGAGGACACUGAAGAGGCUGAAACUAUAAAUAAGCUCAGAAACGAUGUAAAGUCACAGAUCUAUAGUGAGUCGUAUCAAGGGAAAUGAGGUUGUCUGACACCCCUGCAGAGUCCCCUUUGGUGCCACCAUCACAUGACAGAC